rnacentral:rRNA from 1 species
ACGCUGGCGGCAUGGAUUAGGCAUGCAAGUCGAACGGUGAACAUUAAGCUUGCUUUUUGUUCAUAGUGGCGAAAGGGUGAGUAACACGUGAGUAACAUACCCUCAAGUUGGGAAUAACAUCUUGAAAGAGAUGCUAAUACCGAAUGUGGAUUAGGUUUCAUAAGAUUCCUUUUCUAAAGAUUUAUCGCUUGAGGAGUGGCUCGCGUCCCAUUAGCUAGUUGGUAAGGUAACGGCUCACCAAGGCAAUGAUGGGUAGGUGGUCUGAGAGGAUGGUCACCCACACUGGGACUGAGACACUGCCCAGACUCCUACGGGAGGCUGCAGUCGAGAAUCUUCCGCAAUGCGCGAAAGCGUGACGGAGCAAUGCCGCGUGCAGGAUGAAGGCCUUCGGGUUGUAAACUGCUGUCACCGGGGAUGAAUAAAUGACAGUACCCGGAGAGGAAGCCACGGCCAACUACGUGCCAGCAGCCGCGGUAAUGCGUAGGUGGCGAGCGUUGUUCGGAAUUAUUGGGCGUAAAGGGUCCGCAGGUGGUUUAUUAAGUCUGAUGUGAAAUCUGAAGGCUCAACCUUCAAACUGCAUUGGAAACUGAUAGACUAGAGUGCUGGAGAGGUGAAUGGAAUUCCAGGUGUAGCGGUGGAAUGCGUAGAUAUCUGGAGGAACACCAAAAGCGAAGGCAGUUCACUGGACAGAUACUGACACUCAGGGACGAAAGCGUGGUAGCAAACAGGAUUAGAUACCCUGGUAGUCCACGCCGUAAACGUUGUAUACUAGUUGUAGGAGGAUUUAGCCCCUUCUGUGACUGAGCUAACGCAUUAAGUAUACCGCCUGGGGACUACGGCCGCAAGGCUAAAACUCAAAGGAAUUGACGGGGCCCCGCACAAGCGGUGGAGCAUGUGGCUUAAUUCGAGGCAACGCGAAGAACCUUACCUAGAUUUGACAUAUACCUGACCGCCAUAGAAAUAUGGCUUUCCUUCGGGACGAGUAUACAGGUGCUGCAUGGCUGUCGUCAGCUCGUGCUGUGAAGUGUUCGGUUAAGUCCGGCAACGAGCGCAACCCGCGUCGUUAGUUACCAUCAGGUUAUGCUGGGGACUCUAGCGAGACUGCCCGUGUUAAGCGGGAGGAAGGCGCGGAUGACGUCAAGUCCGUAUGGCCUUUAUAUCUAGGGCUGCACACGUGCUACAAUGGUUGGUACAAUGGGACGCAAUAUCGCGAGAUGGAGCAAAUCCUUAAAACCAAUCUUAGUUCGGAUUGUAGUCUGCAACUCGACUACAUGAAGCCGGAAUCGCUAGUAAAGGCGUAUCAGCUACGACGCCUUGAAUACGUUCCCGGGGCUUGUACACACCGCCCGUCACAUCAUGGAAGCUUAUUGCACCCAAAGUCGUUGACCCAACUUUUAACGAGAGGGAGACGCCUAAGGUGUGGUUAGUAACUGGGAUGAAGUCGAACAAGGUA